rnacentral:rRNA from 1 species
UACGUAGGGACCAAGCGUUGUUCGGAUUUACUGGGCGUAAAGGGCGCGUAGGCGGCGUGGUAAGUCACUUGUGAAAUCUCUGAGCUUAACUCAGAACGGCCAAGUGAUACUGCUGUGCUAGAGUGCAGAAGGGGCAAUCGGAAUUCUUGGUGUAGCGGUGAAAUGCGUAGAUAUCAAGAGGAACACCUGAGGUGAAGACGGGUUGCUGGGCUGACCCUGACGCUGAGGCGCGAAAGCCAGGGGAGCAAACGGG